CAAUAGCGUAUAUUAAAGUUGUUGCGGUAAAAAAGCUCGUAGUUGGAUUUCUACCGAAGAUAGCCGGUCGGGUCUUCGACCUUGUAUCUGGUUUUGUCUUUGGUAUCCUCAUAGGGAACGUUUCUGCGCUUUAUUGCGUGGUGCGGUAUCUAUGACUUUUACUUUGAGGAAAUUAGAGUGUUCACGGCAGGCGAACGCCUUGAAUAUAUUAGCAUGGGAUAAUAACAUAGGAUCUUCGUCCUAUUUUGUUGGUUUCUAGGGCUAAGAUAAUGAUUAAUAGGGAUAAUUGGGGGCAUCUGUAUCAACGCGUCAGAGGUGGAAUUCUUGGAUUGCGUUGCGACAAACUACUGCGAAAGCAUUUGCCAAGGAUGUUUUCAUUGA
rnacentral:rRNA from 1 species